CCUACGGGAGGCAGCAGUGAGGAAUAUUGGUCAAUGGGCUUACGCCUGAACCAGCCAAGUCGCGUGAGGGAAGACUGCCCUAUGGGUUGUAAACCUCUUUUGUCAGGGAGCAACGCCGGCUACGUGUAGCCGGACUGAGAGUACCUGAAGAAAAAGCAUCGGCUAACUCCGUGCCAGCAGCCGCGGUAAUACGGAGGAUGCGAGCGUUAUCCGGAUUUAUGGGGUUUAAAGAGUGCGUAGGCGGAAUGCCAAGUCAGCGGUAAAAUCGCGGGGCUCAACCUCGCUCCGCCGUUGAAACUGGCGUUCUUGAGUGGGCGAGAAGUAUGCGGAAUGCGUGGUGUAGCGGUGAAAUGCAUAGAUAUCACGAAGAACCCCGAUUGCGAAGGCAGCAUACCGGCGCCCAACUGACGCUGAAGCACGAAAGCGUGGGUAUCGAACAGGAUUAGAUACCCUUGUAGUC
rnacentral:rRNA from 1 species